AUGAAGGCAAACAAAUGCUUGACAAGGAGCGGAUGCACGUCUGCUCUUCAGGAAAGGCUCGCCUGGGCGAUUGAGCCGGGAACAGCAGUAAAUCUGUACAAGGUACCGGCCAAAACGGAACGGCAGCGGACCCACAUAAGGAACGCCGAGGAAUCCCCAAGCCCUCUCCGAGUGUUAUCCCGGCAUAAUUAUGAUCUCACUCCGUCCGCUCAACGGACAGCUCCACACGUGGCACCGAUAUCUGCCCUUCAUCUCUCUUUCCCGGCUCACCUCCCGAGAGACCUUCAGUUUCGAAGGGCUCGGGCUCUUCUGCACAAUCCGGCCUUUUCCACCGGCACAGCAGGUAGGGGGUGGAUUUUUCAGCAGGUAUGGUCUCUAAACAAAGCAUCUAACCCUAACCCUACACAUGUCAGCUGUGAGAAUCAGUCACAUUUCUGCAGUUAAAUAGUUUUCCGUCUUUCUUUCAGGUACCAUCGCAAAGGAUAACUGUAAUGUGUCUACUGUGGAAGCUGUGGUUACUUCUGCAACUAAAGCCAUUUUCUAUGUGAGAAGGAAAACUACUGACCACCAUUAUCUUAGGAGAGGUGGUGUCCGGGCCAAGGUCAGCUAAGUAGCUGCUAUAUAUAACGCAGUGUUCCUAUCUGCAUUAAACAAAGAGAAAGGCUGGCUCUUUGACAAGACAAGAUGGGCUGAUGGUUUUCAUUAUAAUACAUCCAUUGCAUCCAGCUGGGACACCGAGAGGAUGUUUUUAAAAGUGGUGUGUGAAGAUUGCGACAGAGGCAGAGAAUCUCUCCUCACCAGAGUGCCCCUCCUCAGUGUUACCCCACUGUUUUCACUGUCCAAAAAACAGGAGCCUUGAGAGGCAUCAAAGAAGGUCCAAUUUGUUUUGCUGAUAGUCGGUCGGCCUGCCAGCCUGGAUUCUACGGUGCGCCUCAUGCAAUUGGCGUUCUCGUAAGGGUGGAGAUAUUGUGACAAGUAGUGUGAGCGCGGCUUCUGCUCAGCAGAUCAAAUGGGCUUUGUGAUUAAAAUAGGAAACAGCAAAACUGGCAGGGUUCUAAUGUGUUUUCUAGGCUUUGGAAUGACUUUUUCAUGUCAACACGUCCGUUGUGGUACCCAGAUAUAUAUCUAUAUGGUUCUACGGUGGUGCUCACACUGUGCGAGAUAUAUGCGACUAGCUUUCAAGUGAGUGUGGUUACUACAACAAAAAAGCUGAUCAGUGGCUUGUAGCCAGCCUUUUUUCCUUAUCUCUUAUUCACUGAGAGGAAAUGGGCAAAUUAUAUGUUUUAUUCCUGUGUUGAAUUCCUCGCUUGUUCAGAAAUGGAUGCCUAAACCUCAUGAGACCUUAAAGUGAGAUAGACAUCAGUUAAUGCCUCUUUAGCAUUUCUAAAAUGGCCUUUCUCCAUGAUUGAUGAUAAACAAAUAGUUUUUUGGAAACAGGAUGUUA
rnacentral:lncRNA from 1 species